AGAGUUUGAUCCUGGCUCAGGAUGAACGCUAGCUACAGGCUUAACACAUGCAAGUCGAGGGGCAGCAUGGUCUUAGCUUGCUAAGGCCGAUGGCGACCGGCGCACGGGUGAGUAACGCGUAUCCAACCUGCCUUACACUCUUGGACAGCCUUCUGAAAGGGAGAUUAAUACAAGAUGUUAUCAUGAGUAAGCAUUUUCGCAUGAUUAAAGGUUUACCGGUGUAAGAUGGGGAUGCGUUCCAUUAGAUAGUAGGCGGGGUAACGGCCCACCUAGUCUUCGAUGGAUAGGGGUUCUGAGAGGAAGGUCCCCCACAUUGGAACUGAGACACGGUCCAAACUCCUACGGGAGGCAGCAGUGAGGAAUAUUGGUCAAUGGACGAGAGUCUGAACCAGCCAAGUAGCGUGAAGGAUGAAGGUUCUAUGGAUUGUAAACUUCUUUUAUACGGGAAUAAACGGAUCCACGUGUGGAUUUUUGCAUGUACCGUAUGAAUAAGGAUCGGCUAACUCCGUGCCAGCAGCCGCGGUAAUACGGAGGAUCCGAGCGUUAUCCGGAUUUAUUGGGUUUAAAGGGAGCGUAGAUGGGUUGUUAAGUCAGUUGUGAAAGUUUGCGGCUCAACCGUAAAAUUGCAAUUGAUACUGGCAGUCUUGAGUACAGUUGAGGUAGGCGGAAUUCGUGGUGUAGCGGUGAAAUGCUUAGAUAUCACGAAGAACUCCGAUUGCGAAGGCAGCUUACUAACCUGUAACUGACAUUGAUGCUCGAAAGUGUGGGUAUCAAACAGGAUUAGAUACCCUGGUAGUCCACACGGUAAACGAUGAAUACUCGCUGUAGGCGAUAUACAGUCUGCGGCCAAGCGAAAGCAUUAAGUAUUCCACCUGGGGAGUACGCCGGCAACGGUGAAACUCAAAGGAAUUGACGGGGGCCCGCACAAGCGGAGGAACAUGUGGUUUAAUUCGAUGAUACGCGAGGAACCUUACCCGGGCUUAAAUUGCAACCGAAUAUGGCGGAAACGCUAUAGCUAGCAAUAGCGGUUGUGAAGGUGCUGCAUGGUUGUCGUCAGCUCGUGCCGUGAGGUGUCGGCUUAAGUGCCAUAACGAGCGCAACCCUUGCCGAUAGUUACUAACAGGUCAUGCUGAGGACUCUGUCGGGACUGCCAUCGUAAGAUGUGAGGAAGGUGGGGAUGACGUCAAAUCAGCACGGCCCUUACGUCCGGGGCUACACACGUGUUACAAUGGGGGGUACAGAAGGCAGCUACACGGCGACGUGAUGCUAAUCCCGAAAGCCUCUCUCAGUUCGGAUUGGAGUCUGCAACCCGACUCCAUGAAGCUGGAUUCGCUAGUAAUCGCGCAUCAGCCACGGCGCGGUGAAUACGUUCCCGGGCCUUGUACACACAGCCCGUCAAG
rnacentral:rRNA from 1 species